rnacentral:rRNA from 1 species
ACCAUCCUCCAAGGCUAAAUACUCCUGACUGACCGAUAGUGAACCAGUACCGUGAGGGAAAGGCGAAAAGAACCCCGGCGAGGGGAGUGAAAAAGAACCUGAAACCGUGUACGUACAAGCAGUGGGAGCCUCUUAAUGGGGUGACUGCGUACCUUUUGUAUAAUGGGUCAGCGACUUAUAUUCUGUAGCAAGGUUAACCGAAUAGGGGAGCCGAAGGGAAACCGAGUCUUAACUGGGCGUUAAGUUGCAGGGUAUAGACCCGAAACCCGGUGAUCUAGCCAUGGGCAGGUUGAAGGUUGGGUAACACUAACUGGAGGACCGAACCGACUAAUGUUGAAAAAUUAGCGGAUGACUUGUGGCUGGGGGUGAAAGGCCAAUCAAACCGGGAGAUAGCUGGUUCUCCCCGAAAGCUAUUUAGGUAGCGCCUCGUGAAUUCAUCUCCGGGGGUAGAGCACUGUUUCGGCAAGGGGGUCAUCCCGACUUACCAACCCGAUGCAAACUGCGAAUACCGGAGAAUGUUAUCACGGGAGACACACGGCGGGUGCUAACGUCCGUCGUGAAGAGGGAAACAACCCAGACCGCCAGCUAAGGUCCCAAAGUCAUGGUUAAGUGGGAAACGAUGUGGGAAGGCCCAGACAGCCAGGAUGUUGGCUUAGAAGCAGCCAUCAUUUAAAGAAAGCGUAAUAGCUCACUGGUCGAGUCGGCCUGCGCGGAAGAUGUAACGGGGCUAAACCAUGCACCGAAGCUGCGGCAGCGACACUAUGUGUUGUUGGGUAGGGGAGCGUUCUGUAAGCCUGUGAAGGUGUGCUGUGAGGCAUGCUGGAGGUAUCAGAAGUGCGAAUGCUGACAUAAGUAACGAUAAAGCGGGUGAAAAGCCCGCUCGCCGGAAGACCAAGGGUUCCUGUCCAACGUUAAUCGGGGCAGGGUGAGUCGACCCCUAAGGCGAGGCCGAAAGGCGUAGUCGAUGGGAAACAGGUUAAUAUUCCUGUACUUGGUGUUACUGCGAAGGGGGGACGGAGAAGGCUAUGUUGGCCGGGCGACGGUUGUCCCGGUUUAAGCGUGUAGGCUGGUUUUCCAGGCAAAUCCGGAAAACCAAGGCUGAGGCGUGAUGACGAGGCACUACGGUGCUGAAGCGACAAAUGCCCUGCUUCCAGGAAAAGCCUCUAAGCAUCAGGUAACAUCAAAUCGUACCCCAAACCGACACAGGUGGUCAGGUAGAGAAUACCAAGGCGCUUGAGAGAACUCGGGUGAAGGAACUAGGCAAAAUGGUGCCGUAACUUCGGGAGAAGGCACGCUGAUAUGUAGGUGAAGCGACUUGCUCGUGGAGCUGAAAUCAGUCGAAGAUACCAGCUGGCUGCAACUGUUUAUUAAAAACACAGCACUGUGCAAACACGAAAGUGGACGUAUACGGUGUGACGCCUGCCCGGUGCCGGAAGGUUAAUUGAUGGGGUUAGCGGUAACGCGAAGCUCUUGAUCGAAGCCCCGGUAAACGGCGGCCGUAACUAUAACGGUCCUAAGGUAGCGAAAUUCCUUGUCGGGUAAGUUCCGACCUGCACGAAUGGCGUAAUGAUGGCCAGGCUGUCUCCACCCGAGACUCAGUGAAAUUGAACUCGCUGUGAAGAUGCAGUGUACCCGCGGCAAGACGGAAAGACCCCGUGAACCUUUACUAUAGCUUGACACUGAACAUUGAGCCUUGAUGUGUAGGAUAGGUGGGAGGCUUUGAAGUGUGGACGCCAGUCUGCAUGGAGCCGACCUUGAAAUACCACCCUUUAAUGUUUGAUGUUCUAACGUUGGCCCGUAAUCCGGGUUGCGGACAGUGUCUGGUGGGUAGUUUGACUGGGGCGGUCUCCUCCUAAAGAGUAACGGAGGAGCACGAAGGUUGGCUAAUCCUGGUCGGACAUCAGGAGGUUAGUGCAAUGGCAUAAGCCAGCUUGACUGCGAGCGUGACGGCGCGAGCAGGUGCGAAAGCAGGUCAUAGUGAUCCGGUGGUUCUGAAUGGAAGGGCCAUCGCUCAACGGAUAAAAGGUACUCCGGGGAUAACAGGCUGAUACCGCCCAAGAGUUCAUAUCGACGGCGGUGUUUGGCACCUCGAUGUCGGCUCAUCACAUCCUGGGGCUGAAGUAGGUCCCAAGGGUAUGGCUGUUCGCCAUUUAAAGUGGUACGCGAGCUGGGUUUAGAACGUCGUGAGACAGUUCGGUCCCUAUCUGCCGUGGGCGCUGGAGAACUGAGGGGGGCUGCUCCUAGUACGAGAGGACCGGAGUGGACGCAUCACUGGUGUUCGGGUUGUCAUGCCAAUGGCACUGCCCGGUAGCUAAAUGCGGAAGAGAUAAGUGCUGAAAGCAUCUAAGCACGAAACUUGCCCCGAGAUGAGUUCUCCCUGAGACUUAGAGUCUCCUGAAGGAACGUUGAAGACGACGACGUUGAUAGGCCGGGUGUGUAAGCGCAGCGAUGCGUUGAGCUAACCGGUACUAAUGAACCGUGAGG